UAUCACUUUGUUUUAACUACUUAUUAUGAAAUGUAAAUCCUCCACAAUCACUCGGCUUUCUUCGUCUUUAUCGACGUUUUAACUACUUAUUAUGAAAUGUAAAUAUUUAACAAAUCAGCUAAAUCAGCGCGACUCUGAUAGUUUUAACUACUUAUUAUGAAAUGUAAAUGUCGCUAGAGCUAAAAAAUGGAUAGAGGAACAACAAGGUUUUAACUACUUAUUAUGAAAUGUAAAUUCAACUAAUAUUAAUAUCUCUUGUGGAUUGGCCAUUGUUUUAACUACUUAUUAUGAAAUGUAAAUACUUG
rnacentral:sRNA from 1 species